UACGUAGGGUGCGAGCGUUGUCCGGAAUUAUUGGGCGUAAAGAGCUCGUAGGCGGUUUGUCGCGUCUGCCGUGAAAGUCCGGGGCUCAACCCCGGAUCUGCGGUGGGUACGGGCAGACUAGAGUGAUGUAGGGGAGACUGGAAUUCCUGGUGUAGCGGUGAAAUGCGCAGAUAUCAGGAGGAACACCGAUGGCGAAGGCAGGUCUCUGGGCAUUAACUGACGCUGAGGAGCGAAAGCAUGGGGAGCGAACAGG
rnacentral:rRNA from 1 species